CAAUUUCAAGCCACAAAUACCCGCCUACCCAAAUGCCCCAGCACGGGAACAAGCCCCCCCCC
rnacentral:tRNA from 1 species